rnacentral:rRNA from 1 species
CGUGUAGGUGGCUGCGUAAGUAAGGUGUGAAAGCCCUCGGCUUACCCGGGGAAUUGCGCCUUAUACUGCGUGGCUUGAGGAUUUCAGGGGAAGGGGGAACUCCAGGUGUAGCGGUGAAAUGCGCAGAUAUCUGGGGGAAGGCCGGCGGCGAAGGCGCCCUUCUGGGAAAUUCCUGACACUGAGGCGCGAAAGCGUGGGGAGCAAACA